UUCCUACGGGGGGCAGCAGUGGGGAAUAUUGGGCAAUGGGCGCAAGCCUGACCCAGCAACGCCGCGUGAGGGAAGAAGGUCUUCGGAUUGUAAACCUCUGUCCUUGGGGACGAAAAAAAUGACGGUACCCGAAGAGGAAGCUCCGGCUAACUACGUGCCAGCAGCCGCGGUAAUACGUAGGGAGCGAGCGUUGUCCGGAAUUACUGGGCGUAAAGGGUGCGUAGGCGGCAUGGCAAGUCAGAUGUGAAAUCCCCGGGCUUAACUCGGGUGGUGCAUUUGAAACUGCUGUGCUUGAGUGCAGGAGAGGAAAGCGGAAUUCCUAGUGUAGCGGUGAAAUGCGUAGAUAUUAGGAGGAACACCAGUGGCGAAGGCGGCUUUCUGGACUGUAACUGACGCUGAGGCACGAAAGCGUGGGGAGCAAACAGGAUUAGAUACCCUUGUAGUCCUG
rnacentral:rRNA from 1 species